rnacentral:rRNA from 1 species
GACGAACGCUGGCGGCGUGCUUAACACAUGCAAGUCGAGCGAUGAAGUUCCUUCGGGAAUGGAUUAGCGGCGGACGGGUGAGUAACACGUGGGUAACCUGCCUCAUAGAGGGGAAUAGCCUUUCGAAAGGAAGAUUAAUACCGCAUAAGAUUGUAGUACCGCAUGGUACAGCAAUUAAAGGAGUAAUCCGCUAUGAGAUGGACCCGCGUCGCAUUAGCUAGUUGGUGAGGUAACGGCUCACCAAGGCGACGAUGCGUAGCCGACCUGAGAGGGUGAUAGGCCACAUUGGGACUGAGACACGGCCCAGACGCCUACGGGAGGCAGCAGUGAGGAAUAUUGCACAAUGGGGGAAACCCUGAUGCAGCAACGCCGCGUGAGUGAUGACGGUCUUCGGAUUGUAAAGCUCUGUCUUCAGGGACGAUAAUGACGGUACCUGAGGAGGAAGCCACGGCUAACUACGUGCCAGCAGCCGCCGUAAAAC